rnacentral:misc_RNA from 1 species
GAUGAAGAACGCAGCGAAAUGCGAUAAGUAAUGUGAAUUGCAGAAUUCAGUGAAUCAUCGAAUCUUUGAACGCACAUUGCGCCCCUUGGUAUUCCGAGGGGCAUGCCUGUUCGAGCGUCAUUAUAACCCCUCAAGCUCAGCUUGGUGUUGGGGCCUGCUGCACUGGCAGCCCUUAAAAUCAGUGGCGGCGCCAUCUGGCUCUAAGCGUAGUAAUUCUUCUCGCUAUGGAGUCCUGGUGGAUGCUUGCCAUCAACCCCCAAUUUUUCUAUGGUUGACCUCGGAUCAGGUAGGGAUACCCGCUGAACUUAAGCAAAUCAAUAAGCGGAGGA